rnacentral:tRNA from 1 species
GCCCGGAUGGCGGAACUGGUAGACGCGCUACAUUCAGGGUGUAGUGAGGGUAUCCUCGUGCAGGUUCGAUUCCUGUUCCGGGCA